GAUGAACGCUGGCGGCGUGCCUAAUACAUGCAAGUCGAGCGAACAGACGAGGAGCUUGCUCCUCUGACGUUAGCGGCGGACGGGUGAGUAACACGUGGAUAACCUACCUAUAAGACUGGGAUAACUUCGGGAAACCGGAGCUAAUACCGGAUAAUAUAUUGAACCGCAUGGUUCAAUAGUGAAAGACGGUUUUGCUGUCACUUAUAGAUGGAUCCGCGCCGCAUUAGCUAGUUGGUAAGGUAACGGCUUACCAAGGCAACGAUGCGUAGCCGACCUGAGAGGGUGAUCGGCCACACUGGAACUGAGACACGGUCCAGACUCCUACGGGAGGCAGCAGUAGGGAAUCUUCCGCAAUGGGCGAAAGCCUGACGGAGCAACGCCGCGUGAGUGAAGAAGGUCUUCGGAUCGUAAAACUCUGUUAUUAGGGAAGAACAAAUGUGUAAGUAACUAUGCACGCCUUGACGGUACCUAAUCAGAAAGCCACGGCUAACUACGUG
rnacentral:rRNA from 1 species